GUCGGGCAGCCUCUUAUUGGUUCCAUUCGUAUCUAGCGGGGCAUGCUCGGGGGCGCUUGUUGCUUCUUUGCUUUUGGGGGUGCGUAGCAUCUCCGAAUGCGGGGAGGCGGCAAGUGUUCUUGGGCAUUGCGUACGUGACGAUGCGUGAGUUGUGUUUGAUGUGUAUGGGUAUGUCGGAUCCCUGCUCGUGCAGCGACGGCAUCUCCUUCACGUCUCUUCAUUUGUUGGCACGAGCUCAUGCUCGACCGAUCUUGGUUAUCCUGUGUUGAAUWCCUAUCGUGAGGGCAUUAUGUCGGCUAAACGUUCGGUUCCCGCCUUGUGCUGUUGCUCCUUGUGUGCGGCGGUAUGGGGUGGGCCAAAUCGCGCACGUUGUGUAUCGCAUCGCGUUCGCCCCUUCGGGUGUCCGGAUUGUCGACCCACAACGUUAUGCUCGAUCUCUCGGGUACGGUGCAUCAUGUGGGUACGAGGCCGUUGGCCUCCGAGCACCACAAACAAGCGUUCUACGCUUCGUGCGAACGACGGUCGGUUCGGUCUUUGGCCGUGCUCUCGUGGCUCGGUUCAAGUCGCGCCGACGUCGGUGAGGAAUGCUACCUGGUUGAUCCUGCCAGUAG
rnacentral:misc_RNA from 1 species